rnacentral:rRNA from 1 species
ACAAGCAGCGGAGCGUGUGGUUAAUUCGAGGCUACACGAAGAACCUUACCAGGUUGACAUGCAAGUGGUAGGAAUCCGAAAGGUGACCGACCCUUCGGGAGCUUGCACAGGUGCUGCAUGGCUGUCGUCAGCUCGUGUCGUGAGAUGUUCGGUUAAGUCCGCUAACGAGCGCAACCCUCGUCGUGUGUUAUACGUGUCACACGAUACUGCCGGUAUCAAGCCGGAGGAAGGUGGGGAUGAUGUCAAGUCAGCAUGGCCUUUAUAUCCUGGGCUACACACACGCUACAAUGGCAGAUACAAUAGGUUGCGAAACCGCGAGGUGGAGCCAAUCCUCAAAGUCUGUCUCAGUUCAGAUUGUAGGCUGCAACUCGCCUGCAUGAAGUUGGAGUUGCUAGUAAACGCAGGUCAGCUAUACUGCGUUGAAUACGUUCCCGGGGUUU